rnacentral:rRNA from 1 species
GAUCCUGGCUCAGAUUGAACGCUGGCAGAAUGCUUUACACAUGCAAGUCGAACGGUAGAGGGGGCAACCCCUUGAGAGUGGCGAACGGGUGAGUAAUAUAUCGGAACGUGCCCAGUCGUGGGGGAUAACGUAGCGAAAGUUACGCUAAUACCGCAUACGAUCUAAGGAUGAAAGCGGGGGACCGUAAGGCCUCGCGCGAUUGGAGCGGCCGAUAUCAGAUUAGGUAGUUGGUGGGGUAAAGGCUCACCAAGCCAACGAUCUGUAGCUGGUCUGAGAGGACGACCAGCCACACUGGAACUGAGACACGGUCCAGACUCCUACGGGAGGCAGCAGUGGGGAAUUUUGGACAAUGGACGCAAGUCUGAUCCAGCCAUUCCGCGUGCAGGAUGAAGGCCCUCGGGUUGUAAACUGCUUUUGUACGGAACGAAAAGGUUUGUCUUAAUACGAUGAGCUCAUGACGGUACCGUAAGAAUAAGCACCGGCUAACUACGUG